CUACGGGGUGCUCCAGUGAGGAAUAUUGCACAAUGGGGGGAACCCUGAUGCAGCAACGCCGCGUGGAGGAUGACGCAUUUCAGUGUGUAAACUCCUUUUAUAUGUCAAGAAAAUGACGGUAGCAUAUGAAUAAGCACCGGCUAACUCCGUGCCAGCAGGCCGCGGUAAUACGGAGGGUGCAAGCGUUACUCGGAAUCACUGGGCGUAAAGGACGCGUAGGCGGGUUGGAAAGUCAGGUGUGAAAUCCUACAGCUUAACUGUAGAACUGCACUUGAAACUUCUAAUCUAGAGUAUGGGAGGGGGAGAUGGAAUUAGUGGUGUAGGGGUAAAAUCCGUAGAUAUCACUAGGAGUACCUAAAGCGAAGGCGAUCUCCUGGAACAUUACUGACGCUAAGGCGUGAAAGCGUGGGGAGCAAACAGGAUUAGAUACCCCAGUAGUC
rnacentral:rRNA from 1 species